UACGGAGGGUGCAAACGUUGCUCGGAAUCAUUGGGCGUAAAGCGCACGUAGGCGGUUCAUUAAGUCGGGUGUGAAAGCCCGGGGCUCAACCCCGGAAGUGCACUCGAAACUGAUGGACUAGAAUAUGGAAGAGGGUCGCGGAAUUCCCGGUGUAGAGGUGAAAUUCGUAGAUAUCGGGAGGAACACCAGUGGCGAAGGCGGCGACCUGGGCCAAUAUUGACGCUGAGGUGCGAAAGCGUGGGGAGCAAACAGG
rnacentral:rRNA from 1 species